UUUCCUGGUGAAUUAAAAGACAAAAUCAAGGCAUUUACAUAGUUGCUAACUAUCUACGGAUUCGCUUAAAUAUGCUGCAAAACAGAAUCAUGCUCCAAGCUAUAUUCACAAAGCCCAUCCUUACUUCCAUUCCUUGAAGGAACGAGGAAUCCUUCAUUAAUGCAGCGUAAUGCAAAAACCAGUUGCUUCACUUGAACAAAACAGAAAGUGUCCUUACCUCUGGUGUUACGCAAAGCAACUCAAAAUACUGGCGCGCAUGGUCCAGCGCUGGUUCGCGGGCCAAAGUAAUGCUGGUUAACGUUUGCUGUAAGGCGAAAAUAUUGCGACACAUUUUCUUGACGCCAUUUUCAUUCAUCCGCCGGAUAUGCUGCACAGAGGACAUGAUGAUACUGGAUACAAGAGAUACCUUUGACUGCUUCCGACAACUUCUAGCAUCAGUGAUUUUACCUUUGGCGCAUCAUUCUUCGAAAUCAAGUUUCCAGAAGCCCUGCCAGAGGAGUUACGGCCACUAGAGGCUCUUUGAAAAGGUGCCUGUGAUGUCGCAGCGCGUUUCCACUGCAAGACAUCACUUGAUGAUUUUACAUAGAUAUAGUGACUCAAGUCUUCCAAAAGAAUUUUGUAGAAGCGCUAUCAAGUAUACAUAAACAACUUGGAUUCAUACAUUAUUGUUUAGGUGAAUAUAUGUGAUACCUCUUGCUUUGUGGCAAGAUCACUUCGAACAUCCUUUAAAGCUUCAACAUUUUGCAGUGGACCUUGUAGAUUUUGUUGCGCUUCAACCACAAGCUCUGCAGCUGCUACAUAAUUCUUCUUUGCUAUAUUUUCAUUAAUUUUGUCAGGUAUUUCUUUUAAUUUUUCACUGCAAUGGUUAACAAAUUAAUAAUUUACACAUUUAGCUUUGGAAUCAAACUAUAAUUCCUUUUGUUACAUCUGAUUCAGCAUGAGAAGCACUUGUUUAUGCUCCACUCCUUCUAGCCACAGCUUUUUAAGUUCAUCUCUUCUACAGUGCAGUAGCCCUCUGCAAGCUGCUAACUGUCCUUUCACCAUAGCAAUUCGAGUUCUAGCUUCAUUGAUGCUAACUGAAGCUUUGCUGUAAAUUUGCAUCACAUUGGCUAAAUCUCUGUG